AUUAACAUGAGCCAUGCAAGUGACAGUGUGUUACUUUUUGGGACUGAAAUGAUGUCAGAACCAGCCACAACUGCAAAUGUUUACAUGUGCAUGACAUAAAAUUGUGCCUCAUUAAAAAGUGAAAAUGCAAAAAAUCCCAGAAGCCAGUGAGGAAUUACAAAACAUCUGGAAAUGGUUUUGCUAUUACUACUGAGCAUUUCUUUAAAAUACCACCAGGGAUGUUUUCAAUGCCAGAUGAUAAUUUUGAUUUUAGUCCUCUAUUGACAUUUGAUACUCCUUUCCGAUCUGUUGGAUAUAAGAAAAGGUCUUGACAGCAACACAUCUCUGGUGGCUGAUACUCUCUCUGACUUGUUUUUAAAUAUGGAAAACAAGGACUCACUAGCUGCCAGAAAGCACUUCUUAACAAAUGUGCCAUCAUCAAAAGGUUUUGCAUGUUUCAUCAGUACUUACAACAUGCAAAAUGAUGGUGACAAAUUUCAUCAGCAUGUUAUCAAUAAAUAUACGUGAGAAACUGCGAGUAUGCCAGCUGUCAUACAAAAGACUCGAUUCAGUCAGUACUGUCACACAAAUUUAAAUUUUACACUAAGAUUUUAUUUAAAGAAAACUUACAGAUACUCCCCUUUUAAAUCUAGACCUUUUCAUUUACUGCAUCAGGAGUAGUGGCUGACAUUUGCUGAAGCAAGACAGAAGACUACUAUCACAAGCACUGAAUUUACAAAAACAGUUAAAUUAGUUUCCUGGAUAACAGAUUUCUACUUAUAAAUGUUAUAUGGCACUGAAAGUAAAGCUUAGUAGUACGACAUAGAAAAGGAAGCCAAACUGUGAAACAAACACUGUGAUGAUCAGUAUCACUGUGAAGAGCAUUGUAUUUACUAAACAUGAAAAAUGUUGCGGUCUUUAAAUUUUUAUUUUCCACUUCUGAUAAAGAAGACAAUUAUGGUAACAUCUCUCAUACCACAUCAACAAUGAUCUAUGCAAUGAUCAUAAUGAUUCCAUAACUACCAAGAAAUAAAAUCUUGUUUUAGAUAUGUUCAAACAAAUUGUAAUGUCUUUUCUUUAAAAGAGCGCCAGAUAUCUACUAAUUGUGUCAAAGUGUACGAAAC